UACGAAGGGGGCGAGCGUUGUUCGGAAUUACUGGGCGUAAAGGGCGCGCAGGCGGCUCUGAAAGUCAGAUGUGAAAGCCCCGGGCUUAACCUGGGAACUGCAUUUGGGACUGCAAGGCUUGAGUACGGCAGAGGGGGGUAGAAUUCCUGGUGUAGCAGUGAAAUGCGUAGAUAUCAGGAGGAAUACCGAUGGCGAAGGCAGCCCCCUGGGUCGAUACUGACGCUCAUGCACGAAAGCGUGGGGAGCAAACAGG
rnacentral:rRNA from 1 species